rnacentral:sRNA from 1 species
UCCGCGUGUUGAGUGCUGGUGGUGCACU